UAGACGCACAGAGUCUCUUGCCCUGAGUUGGGGAAUUGAGGACCUGAGGACAUGUGUUCAAGGUGAAGGGGAAAAGAUUUAACAU